rnacentral:lncRNA from 1 species
GGCGACGACGGGCGAGUGCCGCGAGCAGCGAUAGCCGCCGCGGCCUCCGGUCCCCCCUCCGCCGCCUCCGCUGCCCCCCCUCGCUUCCCUCCUCCCACUUCCCGAGCUCCGGCGUGUCCCGGCCACGCUCGGUGCUACUGCAGGAACAAAGGAGGACCCCGCGGCGGCAGCGGCAGCGGCAGCGGCAGCGGCAGCGCCACCUCCGCCUCCGCCCCGCUCCCGGCCCGCGGCGGCCGCUCCGGGGCGCCCGGCUCGUCCCUCCCGGAGGCCUGGGCCCGGCCCCACCGCGCCGGCGUCGCGCGAGCCCGGCUCCUGCGCUCCUGCCCCCGCAGGGUGAGUGGUGCGGGGCGGGGGGAGGGCGCCCGGCGGCUCGUGCCGGGCCGGGGGGUGGGAGUGGGGGGCACCGGGCGGCCGCGGGCCCCUGGCGGAGCCUCCGGGGGCGGGGGGCCAGCCGGCCGGCUCAGGGAGCACAAAGACGGAGGCGUCAUCCUGCCGUCGUGGCCCGAGGUCCGGCGCCCCCGGCCCGCCCGCACCGGCUCCCGCUCCGGCCGGAGAACAAUGCCCGGCGUGUGGGCUCCGGGCCUCCUCCGCGGCCGCCCCGGCCGCCUUCGGCGCGGCGCCCGGCGUGGGCAGCCGGACCCGGAGAGACAAAGGGACCGCGGCGGCGGCCGCGCCCCCGGCCCCCUGCUCGCCGCACCCCCUCCCCCCCGCCCCCCAGGUCGCCGCCGCCGCCUCCGAGGAGCCGGUCCGAGCCGGUCGGAGCCGGGGGUCGGCGCGGGCCCGACCCGGCCUGCGGAGCUGCUGUUCUGCAUGACUCAGUGGUUUUUGGAGGAGGCCCUGCUGCUGGGCUCUCCCGAGCCAGGCCUCGGCUUAGAGAGGGGCAUGGGGGGACCGAUGGGGUCCGGGGCUUGUUCGGAAAUCCGCUGGAACGUGGCUGGGGGGAUCUUCUGUCGUCGUGGUUUUAGUUUUGCCAGCGUCGCUGCGUUUUUCGCCCGAGAUCCCUUCCAUGAAGGAAAUGGAGCACCUUCCCCUUUGUUUCGUGCAUUUAGGCUGGUGAACGUGAAAUUCUUGCUCGCUUUCCACGCACUCCGUGGAGCUGUGUUUUGA